rnacentral:rRNA from 1 species
AACGCGAAGAACCUUACCAAGGCUUGACAUAUGGCGAAAACUGGCAGAGAUGUCAGGUCCGCAAGGGCGCCAUACAGGUGGUGCAUGGUUGUCGUCAGCUCGUGUCGUGAGAUGUUGGGUUAAGUCCCGCAACGAGCGCAACCCUUGUUCUAUGUUGCCAGCGAGUAAUGUCGGGGACUCAUAGGAGACUGCCGGGGUCAACUCGGAGGAAGGUGGGGAUGACGUCAAAUCAUCAUGCCCCUUAUGUCUUGGGCUGCACACAUGCUACAAUGGCCGGUACAAAGGGCUGCGAAACCGUAAGGUAGAGCGAAUCCCAAAAAGCCGGUCUCAGUUCGGAUUGGGGUCUGCAACUCGACCCCAUGAAGUCGGAGUCGCUAGUAAUCGCAGAUCAGCAACGCUGCGGUGAAUACGUUCCCGGGCCUUGUACACACCGCUAGUC